UGGAUCCAGACUUUGAUUCUGGCUCAGGAUGAACGCUAGCUACAGGCUUAACACAUGCAAGUCGAGGGGCAGCGGGAUUGAAGCUUGCUUCAAUUGCCGGCGACCGGCGCACGGGUGAGUAACGCGUAUCCAACCUUCCGUACACCCAGGGAUAGCCUUUCGAAAGAAAGAUUAAUACCUGAUGGUAUGAUGAGAUUGCAUGAUAGCAUCAUUAAAGAUUUAUCGGUGUACGAUGGGGAUGCGUUCCAUUAGGUAGUAGGCGGGGUAACGGCCCACCUAGCCAACGAUGGAUAGGGGUUCUGAGAGGAAGGUCCCCCACAUUGGAACUGAGACACGGUCCAAACUCCUACGGGAGGCAGCAGUGAGGAAUAUUGGUCGAUGGACGAGAGUCUGAACCAGCCAAGUAGCGUGAAGGAUGAAGGUCCUACGGAUUGUAAACUUCUUUUAUAAGGGAAUAAACCCUCCCACGUGUGGGAGCUUGUAUGUACCUUAUGAAUAAGCAUCGGCUAACUCCGUGCCAGCAGCCGCGGUAAUACGGAGGAUGCGAGCGUUAUCCGGAUUUAUUGGGUUUAAAGGGAGCGCAGACGGGUCGUUAAGUCAGCUGUGAAAGUUUGGGGCUCAACCUUAAAAUUGCAGUUGAUACUGGCGUCCUUGAGUGCGGUUGAGGUGUGCGGAAUUCGUGGUGUAGCGGUGAAAUGCUUAGAUAUCACGAAGAACUCCGAUUGCGAAGGCAGCACACUAAUCCGUAACUGACGUUCAUGCUCGAAAGUGUGGGUAUCAAACAGGAUUAGAUACCCUGGUAGUCCACACGGUAAACGAUGGAUACUCGCUGUUGGCGAUAUACUGUCAGCGGCUUAGCGAAAGCGUUAAGUAUCCCACCUGGGGAGUACGCCGGCAACGGUGCAACUCAAAUGAAUUGACGGA
rnacentral:rRNA from 2 species